rnacentral:rRNA from 1 species
CUGCGCCAUAAGUGGUGAUCGCGUUUAUUGGGCCUAAAGCGUCCGUAGCUGGAUUGAUAACUCUCUUGUGAAAUUGUUGGUCUUAAGCUAACAACGUGCAGGAGAAACUGUCAAUCUUGGGACCGGAGAGAAGUCAGAAGUAUGCCUGGGGGAGCGGUAAAAUGCUAUAAUCCCAGGUAGACUACCUGUGGCGAAGGCGUCUGACUAGAACGGAUCUGACAGUGAGGGACGAAAGCCGGGGGAGCAAUCCGGAUUAGAUACCCGAGUAGUCC